UCAAAUCUGGCCUCAGACAGUUUCCGAAAUGAUGUCUUCCCUCUUUGAUAGCUGACCACCAGGGCAAGUGGAGCCCCACGGAUAACCUAUGACCAGUGUCCUGACUGCCUUUUAUUAUCCUCCAUCAAACUUCUAACUGGUACUCUGUAAAAUCUCCUCUGUGGAAGGAGAGGUUCUUAUUGGGGGAGGGGGGUCGAGGAGGCCAUUUUUGCCCAAUGUCCCAACUGCCACGUAUUGUCCUUCAUUAAACUCACUAACUGGGAAUCUCUUGGAAGGGGAAGGCGUUUACAUCUAGCCCGCUUCCUGCAAAAGGUGAAAUUUAAGCUGUCUUGAAGGAAGUCGGGGAAAUUCGGAAGCCUGUGCGCUUGUGGAGCUGAGCGUUCCAGACCCCAGACAUAGCCCGUGCAGAGGGAUAAAGAAAGAGAUGGAAUGCCCUGUCCAAAGCAGUAGAGGGUGAAGAAUCAAGGAUGAUACCAAGGUUACGAGUCACAACGACUGAGAAGAGAAUGAUAUUCAAUAUUAAUAAGGGGGAAGUUCAGAAGGAGGAAGGUUUCAGGGAAGAAGGAUAUUGGAAAGACGAGUUGUUUUGGACAUGCUAAGUUUAAGAGAGAAGGUAAGAAUACAGUAAAAGAUGCAUCGUUAUAUUUUGGCAGAGAUUAGACCUAGAAAGAUAGUUCUGAAAAUCAUUUACACAGAAAUAAUAAUGGAACCUAUGCGAGUAGAUGAAGUCACCCAGUGAGACAGUAAAAAUUGCAAUAGCUCUUCAUCUUUGUGCAUAUGUGUGAUGUACUAUAAAGACAUCAGUAGUCUUCCCACCUCGAUAAAGGCAGAAGUUUCUGGGGAAACUCAAAUUCUCUAAAUUUCUCCAAAGUAAAGUCUACAAUAAUGGAGGGACUUGUUUGGUUUUUUUUUUUCCCCUAUUCAGAGGGUGUUUGAAUAUCAAC